GACGAACGCUGGCGGCGUGCUUAACACAUGCAAGUCGAACGGUGAAGCCCAGCUUGCUGGGUGGAUCAGUGGCGAACGGGUGAGUAACACGUGAGCAACCUGCCCCCGACUCUGGGAUAAGCCCGGGAAACUGGGUCUAAUACCGGAUACGAGCCUCCACCGCAUGGCGGAGGUUGGAAAGGGUCUCCGGUCGGGGAUGGGCCCGCGGCCUAUCAGCUUGUUGGUGGGGUAACGGCCCACCAAGGCGACGACGGGUAGCCGGCCUGAGAGGGUGAACGGCCACACUGGGACUGAGACACGGCCCAGACUCCUACGGGAGGCAGCAGUAGGGAAUCUUGCGCAAUGGGCGAAAGCCUGACGCAGCGACGCCGCGUGCGGGACGAAGGCCCUCGGGUUGUAAACCGCUUUCAGCAGGGACGAAGCGAGAGUGACGGUACCUGCAGAAGAAGGUCCGGCCAACUACGUGCCAGCCGCCGCCGUAACAC
rnacentral:rRNA from 1 species